rnacentral:rRNA from 1 species
CCGUACGGGUGAGUAACACGUAUCCAACCUGCCGUCUACUCUUGGACAGCCUUCUGAAAGGAAGAUUAAUACAAGAUGGCAUCAUGAGUCCGCAUGUUCACAUGAUUAAAGGUAUUCCGGUAGACGAUGGGGAUGCGUUCCAUUAGAUAGUAGGCGGGGUAACGGCCCACCUAGUCUUCGAUGGAUAGGGGUUCUGAGAGGAAGGUCCCCCACAUUGGAACUGAGACACGGUCCAA